rnacentral:rRNA from 1 species
AGCAGUCGCCGCGGGAAUACGGAGGGAGCUAGCGUUGUUCGGAAUUACUGGGCGUAAAGCGCACGUAGGCGGCUUUGUAAGUUAGAGGUGAAGGCCUGGAGCUCAACUCCAGAACUGCCUUUAAGACUGCAUCGCUUGAAUCCAGGAGAGGUGAGUGGAAUUCCGAGUGUAGAGGUGAAAUUCGUAGAUAUUCGGAAGAACACCAGUGGCGAAGGCGGCUCACUGGACUGGUAUUGACGCUGAGGUGCGAAAGCGUGGGGAGCAAACAGGAUUAGAUACCCGCGUAGUCCCUGUCUCUUAUAC